rnacentral:rRNA from 1 species
GAGUUUGAUCGUGGCUCAGGAUGAACGCUAGCGGCAGGCCUAAUACAUGCAAGUCGAGGGGCAGCGGGUGUAGCAAUACAUGCCGGCGACCGGCGCACGGGUGCGUAACACGUAUGUAAUCUACCUUUUACUGGAGAAUAGCCCGAAGAAAUUCGGAUUAAUACUCCAUAACAUCAUUGGGGGGCAUCUCUUGAUGAUUAAAGUUCCGACGGUAAAAGAUGAGCAUGCGCGAUAUUAGCUAGUUGGUGAGGUAACGGCUCACCAAGGCGACGAUAUCUAGGGGUACUGAGAGGUUACACCCCCACACUGGUACUGAGACACGGACCAGACUCCUACGGGAGGCAGCAGUAAGGAAUAUUGGACAAUGGUCGCAAGACUGAUCCAGCCAUGCCGCGUGCAGGAUGACUGCCCUAUGGGUUGUAAACUGCUUUUGUACGGGAAUAAACCCGGGUACGUGUACCCGGCUGAAUGUACCGUAAGAAUAAGGGUCGGCUAACUUCGU